UCAGAUAGGAAUCUGGGACAGAUUUUGCCAGCAGCCACAAAGCAUGGCCCUUUGGUAAUAGAAUAGCCAAUGUAAUUUGACACUUCAACUUGCUGUGCUCUCUGCUAGUUGAUUCACUUACUCACCCACUAACAUUGAGCUCCUUUUCACUGUCUGUGGGCAAGGGGAAAAAAAAAGGGGGGGGGAAGGAAGAAAAAAGAAAGCGGGGGGAGAAGGAAGAAAGGAAGGGAAUAAACAAAAUUAUAUAUUUAAAAAUACCCAAGUAGAGCUGCAAAUCAGUUGGGGAGAGAGGAUUUUGCCUGCCUUCUUCCUUAUUAUUUUGCUGCUGCAAGGCUGCUUUGCAAUCCGUAGGAAAUACUGUUGUGCUGAGGAAGAAAACAACUCCCUCUUCUUUUUUUUUUUUUCCUUUUUUUUUUCCCCCUCUUCCCUCCCCUCCUUUCUUCUUGCCUGAAUUAGAAGCUCCAGGAAUGUGCUAAUUGGCGGCGGCCUCUUCAGAAAGCUCAGGAUACUCCUUUCUCAACCUCACUACAUGGAGAUUUCUAGAGGUGUCACGGAAACAGGUUAGUUAUUAUAAACCACUUUGUAAAUAAUAAACUGCAGUACAAAAAUAAUUAUAAUAUUGUU
rnacentral:lncRNA from 1 species